ensembl:lncRNA
UCCAUCUUUAUGAACAAACGACAGCUGAGCGAGGGAUGAAAAGCGGCGGAAAAGAGGAGGGAGGAGCCGAGACCAUCUGUGCCCUGCUCGUAAAGGGUGGGGUUAAUAAUAAUAAUAAUAAUAAUAAUAAUAAUAAUAAUGAGCAUUUAAUAUUAAUUAACUGUAUUCACACUACCGUGACCUACGAAUGACCCUGGCUGAUAGUCCUGACAAGACAAGACAAGACAAGACAGGAACCGGGUUCUGUGGGGUGAAAGGUCAAAGGGCAAACUGUAGGUUUGAAAGAGAAGAGAAAGAUGACAGCGCACACUCAGUGAGUGAGCAGUGGGUAAAUCCUCUAUCCAUCUGCUCAUCUCUUCAUACGCCGGCUGAUGAGGUCGGCAGAAAGGACUCGUACUGCGAGCAGAGUUCGUGACCUACGCAUGACCUCACCGUGACCUUGAGGUGGUGUGAGAGAAUCCUCCUUUCUCGCUCACCCUUUUGUCCUCUGUCUAGCAGUCGCUUUUAGUCGAAGGGUAUUUGUAAACACAGGCCUACUGAGGGGGAAAAAUAAAUAAAUAAACAAAUAGGACACUUCAGCUAGUCAACGAUAACGGAGCAAGAAGUACGUAGCUACUCUGCGUGUACGUUCCGAAACUUUUCGAAUGAAAAACGCGGCUUAAUUAGUGAAUUUGAUCUCGCCGGAAAGUCCUGGGGAGUGUGUUUAAACUUAGCGCGAUAAGAAUACAUCAAACACACACAUGUCCGCCCGCUUAAAGCCUGCCACUGUUAUCAGGAUGCAGCAGCACCGCGGCACCGCGGCACCGCACACACUCGUGUUCUCCUCGCUCCGGCUGGAGUGCGUUUGAGAGGUAUGGGGUAGGUGGUAUUGAGGGGGUGCGCAGCAGGGUGCGAGAAUGCUGCUGGGGCUCAGGAGGAGCGAUUUGGAACAGAGCCAGGAUUCCUGCACUAAUAUUUUAUUUGAGAUUAAAACAUGGAGCUGAAAUGCUAGAAAGCGACAAAGCCAUGCAGCCUCGUGCCAACUAUACACUUUCCCGAGGUUCGCCGGAAAGAGCGUUCGUUACGCAUUCGUUCUGAUGAUUAACGCACGAUUACUACCUCCAGGUGUUUACAGAUGUGCAGCGGUGUCUGGAUGCGAUAUCCUCUUUUUUUUUUUUUUCCUUCACACCAGAACACUUCUGGGAAGUUUCUGUUUCCUUUGUAACAUCUUGGGAAUUCACCGUAAAAAAAAAAACCCCAAAAAUGACUGAAAACCACCAAGUGGUUAUGACUAGAGUUACUGUAAAAGCGCGCACACACACACACACACACACACACACACACACUCAAGGUCAUUUUCUCAAAACAGGUGUGGUUGAAGCAUUUUCAGCUAAUUUGGGCCGGUUUGAUAUAACUUGUGCGGUGUGUGUGUGUGUGUGUGUUUGUGUGUGUGUGUAUGUGGUUUCAUUCCCUGACCAGCAAUUUUGGUUUUGAGUAGAAUUGGAGAUGAACUGUUCUCCGUGUGUGUGUGUGUGUGUGUGUGUGUGUGUGUGUGUGUCGAUACAUAAUUUUAUCCUUGUCUCUGUAUUUAUUAUUUUAUAUGUACAACAAAAAGUAGCUUUUAACGGCUCCCCCUAGUGGCGCUGCAGAAAAGCACGUCAGGAGAUCGUGAGUUGGAAUGAGUACCAGGACGGCAGUAAAAUUGCUCGUGCGGUCUGUCUGGGUGGGAGGGGCAUACUCUUUCCCUCCUGUGAGAUCAUGUAUGCAGAAGAGUGUAGAUAGCGCUUUCCUGAGUGUGGUGUGUUACGCUGCCAUGUGAUGCAGCAGGAGCAGCAGUUUGAGAAAGGACUCGAUGGAAGCAUGUGUUUGGUGGCUGUCGUGUGAGCUUCUUGUUUUUUUGUUUUUUUUUUAGGUAGAGAUGAAGCCAAACGGCAUUGUGGGUAAUGUAGGAAACCGUUAACUGGAUGGAAGAUAAGACCAAUGUGUUUCCUUUAAUGUAAUGCUUGUGUCUCUUAUAAAGUGGUCAAUAGUAGCCCAUUAAAACAAAAGUACCCCAAAGAGAUGGAAAUACAGGACCGUGCGCGCGCGCGCGUGUGUGUGUGUGUGUGUGUGUGUGUGUGUGUGUGUGUGUGUUUGAGAGGGAGAAUGCAGGUAUGCAUGCACACUGAACUGUGAGAAGAGAGCCAUGAUGUAUCUAUUAUGAGUGACAGGCACUUAGGAAGCGUGUGUGUGUGUGUGUGUGUGAGAGAGUGUGUGUGUCUGAGAGAGAAAGAGAGAGAGAGAGAGAGAGAGAGAGAGAGAGAGAGAUGUAUACCCAGCAAGUGACAGCUACUCAGCGCACUCGCCCUUAUCCUCCUUUUUAUUAGCCUAAUUAAAAGACCUGCAUUUGUCUCCGUGACGACUGCUCGCCCCAUCACGGUGUUAUUUACCGGCUAGGCAUCCAUGGCGAUCCCGUCGCCGUAACGAUCGGCCUCUCUGAUUGUUUCCGUGACAACAGAAUGCAUCAUCUUCUCUCUCGCAUCUAAUAUCACACACACACACACACACACGCGGGCACAGACACACGCUCAGAAACGGAUGGAACUGUCGGUUAUAAAAGCCCAUUGUAGCCUUACUGAAGGUAGCGGCCAUCAAUAAACGUGCCACGGCGC